CGUAGAAGUGUCUCGUAACUCAAGCAGGAGAGAUUACAGUGUCCUAGAGGAAGGUCCCAUCUUCCAGCAAUGAUCUUGAGGACCAGCUAAAGAUGGGAAUAUCAUCAAGGAACAUCAUUUCCAACAUCAUUCUCUGAAAUAGAAGAAGAAUAAUAAAAAAGAAUUAAGAAGUGUUUUAAAAUGAA